rnacentral:rRNA from 1 species
ACCCUUAAGCCUAGCUUAGUAUUGGGAACCUACGUGCGGCAGCUACCCUGUAGCUACCCUGUAGCUCCUUAAAGACAACGGCGGAGACGUGGAGUCCUCUGAGCUUAGUAACUUUUCUAGCUUCUGAAGGCGCCGCGGCCCCUGCCGUAAAACCCCCCAACUCUUUAGUGGUUGACCUCGGAUCAGGUAGGAAUACCCGCUGAACUUAAGCAUAUCAAUAAGCGGAGGAAAAGAAACCAACAGGGAUUGCCUUAGUAACGGCGAGUGAAGCGGCAACAGCUCAAAUUUGAAAGCUGGCCUUCGGGUCCGCGUUGUAAUUUGUAGAGGAUGCUUUUGGUUAGGUGCCUUACGAGUUCCCUGGAACGGGACGCCUUAGAGGGUGAGAGCCCCGUACGUUUGGUUACCGAGCCUCUGUAAAGCUCCUUCGACGAGUCGAGUAGUUUGGGAAUGCUGCUCUAAAUGGGAGGUAAAUUUCUUUUAAAGCUAAAUACCGGCCAGAGUCCGAUAGCGCACAAGUAGAGUGAUCGAAAGAUGAAAAGCACUUUGAAAAGAGGGUUAAAUAGCACGUGAAAUUGUUGAAAGG